rnacentral:ncRNA from 1 species
GUGUGGGGUGCCAAAGAGGCUGAGAUCAUACCCAUGAACCUGAUCCGGGUAAUGCCGGCGUAGGGAGAGGCAC